rnacentral:rRNA from 1 species
UACGGAGGGUGCAAACGUUGCUCGGAAUCAUUGGGCGUAAAGCGCACGUAGGCGGACCGCGAAGUCGGAUGUGAAAGCCCUCGGCUUAACCGAGGAAGUGCAUUCGAAACUGACAGUCUUGAGUAUGGAAGAGGGUCGCGGAAUUCCCGGUGUAGAGGUGAAAUUCGUAGAUAUCGGGAGGAACACCUGUGGCGAAGGCGGCCGACUGGACGAUAACUGACACUGAGACGCGAAAGCGUGGGUAGCAAACAGG